rnacentral:rRNA from 1 species
UCCCAUCCCGAACUCGGCCGUGAAACUCCCCAGCGCCAAUGGUACUGCAUCUUAAGAUGUGGGAGAGUAGGUCGCUGCC